rnacentral:rRNA from 1 species
GACGAACGCUGGCGGCGUGCCUAAUACAUGCAAGUCGAACGCAGUGGGGACGGGUGAGUAACACGUGGGUAACCUCCCAUCAGAGGGGAUAACACUUGGAAACAGGUGCUAAACCGAUACGGAUGGAUGGACCCGCGGUGCAUUAGCUAGUUGGUGAGGUAAAGGCUCACCUAGGCGACGAUCCCUAGCUGGUCUGAGAGUAUGAUCAGCCACACUGGGACUGAGACACGGACCAGACUCCUACGGUAGGCAGCAGUGGGGAAUAUUGCACAAUGGGCGCAAGCCUGAUGCAGCAAUGCCGCGUGUAUGAAGAAGGCCUUAGGGUUGUAAAGUACUUUCAGCGGGGAGGCGUUACCCGCAGAAGAAGCACCGGCUAACUCCGUGCCAGCAGCCGCGGUAAUUC